UGAGGAAUAUUGGUCAAUGGACGCAAGUCUGAACCAGCCAUGCCGCGUGCAGGAUGAAGGUGCUAUGCAUUGUAAACUGCUUUUGUACGAGGGUAAAUGCAGGUACGUGUACCUGUUUGAAAGUAUCGUACGAAUAAGGGUCGGCUAACUCCGUGCCAGCAGCCGCGGUAAUACGGAGGACCCGAGCGUUAUCCGGAUUUAUUGGGUUUAAAGGGUGCGUAGGCGGAUUAGUAAGUUAGAGGUGAAAGCUCGAUGCUCAACAUCGAAAUUGCCUCUGAUACUGUUAGUCUAGAGUAUAGUUGCGGAAGGCGGAAUGUGUGGUGUAGCGGUGAAAUGCUUAGAUAUCACACAGAACACCGAUUGCGAAGGCAGCUUUCCAAGCUAUUACUGACGCUGAUGCACGAAAGCGUGGGGAGCGAACAGG
rnacentral:rRNA from 1 species